ensembl:lncRNA
UCUUGUGGCCUUUCUCUCUGCUCUAAUCUUGCUCAGAAACAUUGAUUUACCAUUGUAUUUAGUUUAUCUGCUACUAGAAACAACAGAAGGGUAUUUCUGCAAGUUGCUGGGGUAUCUGUUUUACCAAUCAUAUCCUGAAAGAAGGUACUUUUUAUUAAAUAUCAUCAAUCUGGAGAUAUCUGAACAUACGGUUGUCUGGAGUUGGACAACGUCCUUUCAAAUCCCAUUUGAGGGUUUCUUCUCAGGAACGUAGGUGAAUUCUGACAAUUCCAGCUCUCCAUGUGCCAAAAUGGGCAGCAAGCUGUGACUGCAGGCUAUCUACGCUGCCAAGGAGCUUUAAUUCAGGAUCCUUCGGGUUUUUAAAGCAGUCACUGGAACAACCAGAAAGAAGGGUGGAAGAUGAAGCAAGAAAUGGUUUUGCUGGAGGCAGCAUGGCAACUUGCUGGGAGUUUGGAGCGUCUAUCAGUGUUCAUCCCACUCUGGUUUUGGGUGGGGUGGUGCUGGCCAACUCUCAGUGAAGCCCUGCAGACACACCUGGAGCCAGGUCAGCAGGUGGUACCAACAGCACGGCUCUAACACUGCUGAGAGGCUUCCCUGAAGUUUUGGCUGCUGAACAGCUCCGUUCCCUUGCUCUUACUGUGGGAUUGGGAAGCAAGUCAUAACAAAUACAAGUGUUUGAACAGCUACUUGUUUUCAAAAGCUAACAUGAUUAUGAUGACUUGAACUUGUCUUGUUGGCUAGCGGAUCCCAGGGCAAUCCUGGUAGAAAGGAAGGUUUUUCCCCUCCGAGGCUUCUAGAAGCACUGGGUGUGCAGUGCCUGCCAGGAGAGCUGCCACUGCUGCUCUGCUACAGGGCUUGGCAGGGAACUUGCUGUGCUGUGUCAGGUUUGGGUCCGAGGAGUGAGAGCCUGGGCCUUUCCUUGAACUGUGACCUGUGCUGGUGAGGGGCAUCCUCACAGAAGGGCUUUUUUAUUCGUUGUAUCAGAAGGUUUUGGACGACAGUGUGCCAGUUUUGACUAAUGUGUGGUCAGGGAAAUGCCUGGGAUGAGGCCUGGACAAAGUCUCUCUGCAGGGUGGGUUGGACUGUCUUGGUGGGAUGGCCGUGCCCAGCCCCCCGAUGCUGCGGCUGCCAGAGCUGCCUCCCUCUGGUCCUGCUCUCAAAGCUGUUCCUCCCUCGAUAAGCAGUAAAAAUUUCACACAGAAGGAAACAUGCCCGUAUCACACCUCAGGGCUUACCAUGACUGCUGGAAUGUCUCAGUCACAUGAACCCUCAUUGCACUGCGCUGACUCCUACCAGUACUUUUUUUACAGGCGUGCGUAGAGUUUUUUCUUUCCUUCCUUCCAAAAAAAUAAAAAUAAAAAUUCCCAAGGUCUCAGCUAUACUCUGAUGCUGCAUGAGAACAUUUCUGAACUCUUAAUAUUGUUUACUGAACAGGAAAACCAUUUCUUACUCGGUUCCAACUCCGCCCGGAGCGCUGCGGAGGCAUUGCCCGUGCUCCUGGAACGGCUUCACCUUGGGGAAAGCACACCCGUGAAACCUCCUUUGUCUUCUUUUUUCUUCGUUUCUCCUUUUUUUUUUCUCCCCCUUUUUAAUCUUCAGCCUUGUCAUCCUGUUUUGCAAGCUGCAAGCAUGGUGUUUCCUUUCAUAUUAAAGGAGACUGUACACUGAAAGAUAUAAAAGCGUAAACAAAAAGUUCAUGUUUGUUGGCACGGUUUUUAAAUGCAGACAUCUGGGUUAGAGAUGUGAGAAAAUUGUAAAGAAUUUGGGAAGGUUCAAAGGCUCAUGUUAUUAAAGUUUUAAUAAUCUGCUUUUCUGC